rnacentral:rRNA from 1 species
UGGGGAAUAUUGCGCAAUGGACGAAAGUCUGACGCAGCAACGCCGCGUGAGUGAAGAAGGCCUUUGGGUUGUAAAGCUCUUUCGGCCGGGAAGAAGGGGAUUGGUGUGAAUAGCAUUGAUUUUUGAUGGUACCGGAAGAAGAAGCACCGGCUAACUUCGUGCCAGCAGCCGCGGUAAUACGAAGGGUGCGAGCGUUGUUCGGAAUUACUGGGCGUAAAGGGUUCGUAGGCUGAAAUGUAAGUCAAGUGUGAAAUCCCCGAGCUUAACUUGGGACGUGCACUUGAAACUGUGUUUCUUGAGUGUUGGAGAGGGUGGUGGAAUUGUAGGUGUAGGAGUGACAUCCGUAGAGAUCUGCAGGAACAUCGGAGGCGAAGGCGACCACCUGGCCAAAGACUGACGCUGAGGAACGAAAGCGUGGGGAGCAAACAG